GACAAGACUCUUGCCUAAAGAGCCCAUCUGGAAGACAGGUGCUGUAGUUUGUGAACAGUUCGUUCUCCUACCUGUCCCCACCAUGUUGUGCCGCCUCCCACAGGCCCAGGCAAUGGGGCCAAUAGAUUACGGCUGUUGGAGGACCAGACUCUCCAAAACUUUGCAAUAUUUCGUGUCAUGGAACUUUGGCAAAUUCCACCAGCACUCAUGAGAGAAUGAAAUGAAGGAGGAAGCAAAUGACAGAAAGUUCCAGCAAAGCUUGCCUUUUGUAAACAUGAAAUUUUCCUUUAAACUGGCUGAUCAGAUUACCAAAAUAAAUAUACAUAACUUUUGGACUGGAGAUCUUAGAAAUGUUUGAGA